rnacentral:sRNA from 1 species
GCUGGGUGUGGUGGCUCAUGCCUGUAAUCCCAGCAGUUUGGGAGGCUGAGGCAGGAGGAUCAUGAGCUCAAAGCCAGCCUCAGCGAAAGUGAGGUGCUAAGCAACUCAGUGAGACCCUGUCUCUA